UACGAAGGGGGCUAGCGUUGCUCGGAAUCACUGGGCGUAAAGCGCACGUAGGCGGAUUGCUAAGUCAGGGGUGAAAUCCUGGAGCUCAACUCCAGAACUGCCUUUGAUACUGAGGUGCUUGAGUCCAGGAGAGGUGAGUGGAACUGCGAGUGUAGAGGUGAAAUUCGUAGAUAUUCGCAAGAACACCAGUGGCGAAGGCGGCUCACUGGCCCGGUACUGACGCUGAGGUGCGAAAGCGUGGGGAGCAAACAGG
rnacentral:rRNA from 1 species